rnacentral:lncRNA from 1 species
AUGCUUCAAGCUUACUGUUUAUUCUUGAUAUUAUUAAAAUGGCGUUCAAAAUAACUGCACAGGAAUUUCAAAAGUUCAUUCUCCUUUUUCCACUAAAAAUAAAAAUAAAAAAAGGAAGUUGAUAAGUACGACUAGCAACUAUAUUUAAACGAGGGACAUGUUUGCAUACUUGAAUAUCCCUUACUGAAGCUGAAAAGAAGUAAAUAAAUGAGAAUUUGUUCUCCUUCAAGAGUAAACAACACUAAAUUGGGACAUGUUUGCAUCAAACAAGUGAGACUAUGAGAUGGCAACAACAUCUAAUUAAGGCUCCUCCAGCAGAAGAUUUCAGUCCUGCAGAUCGAUCUCCGAUAAACUAAAAGAUUAGGCUUUCAGAAAAGACACAAAUGGAAACCCUUGUAGAUACAAAAGCAAUGGCUGAUAAGUAUUCUAAUCUGUUACUCCUUCAACUCUGUUGGAAAUAUCCUGAUCUGCCGCCCAAGCAUUUGUGUAACCAAUUUUUAAUAUCCUUUUCCAAAAUAUAUUUGAUCCCACCAGAACAUUUUGAACUUUUGUUUUCUUCCAGACUAGAUUUGUCUAAAACAGGCCAAAAGUAGCAAAAUUAACUUUCGAAGAUGAUAUAAGCAAAUUAUAAAUCAAGAAAUAUUAGGAAAAAUAAUCCUCAUCCUCAUCCAAGCAAUUGUUUUUCCAAUAAAACGAUGUUGGAUAUGGAGUACAUGAUUAAUAUAAAUAAAUAUCGAAGACACGACAAUACAAAAUAUACUGUCAAGUGUAUUAGGACUCUUGGUAGUUUAUGAUGCUACUACGGACUACCAGAUUUAACAUAACUAUAUAGAAUUGUUAUUUUCAAAGAGCAUAAGAAUGUACCUCUUAAAAAUGCAUAUAUAUCAAUGAAAUAUUUUUUGAAAUAAUUAUAAAGGAGACAAUCAUUUCCUUUGGAAACAUGCCACAGUUGCCACCAUAGGUAAACACCGUUUUGGCAUCCCAUUCUGUUCUGGUGGUCCUAAAAUUUGAAACAUGCUUCAUAUCCAACAAAAUUCAGAUCCAGGAAUCCAGGAUGCUCUAGAGCCAAACUAAGAAAAGCAAUUAAAGUCAUCGUUUGGUAGAAAUAUUUAGGGUUUGGUUGGGAGUCACACAAGUCAUGUAAGUCUCCAGUUUCCUGUGUGCAACAUAUUUGCCUCCCACUUUAGAAACUAGACUAAAAAGGUUUCCAAGUCACUUGACAUAAAUUGAACAAUAUCUUUGUCACUGUAUUUAACCAUGGUUGAACAUAACCACAUAUUAUAGUUAACAUAGCCGACAAUGUCUUGUCA